GGGGGAGUAGCUUAGUUGGUAGAGUAUUGGUCUGUCGCGCCAAUGGUCGCGGGUUCAAGUCCCGUCUCUCUCG
rnacentral:tRNA from 1 species